rnacentral:rRNA from 1 species
AACGAACGCUGGCGGCGUGCUUAACACAUGCAAGUCGAACGCGAAAGAUUUCUUCGGAGAUCGAGUAGAGUGGCGCACGGGUAAGUAACGCGUAAGUUAUCUACCUCGGCAUCUGGAAUAACGCACCGAAAGGUGAGCUAAUACCGGAUACGUUGAGUAAUCAAGAAAGGUGGCCUCUGCAUAUGCUACCGUGCUGGGAUGAGCUUGCGUACCAUUAGCUAGUUGGUAGGGUAAUGGCCUACCAAGGCGACGAUGGUUAGCGGGUCUGAGAGGAUGAUCCGCCACACUGGAACUGGAACACGGACCAGACUCCUACGGGAGGCAGCAGUGAGGAAUAUUGCGCAAUGGGGGCAACCCUGACGCAGCGACGCCGCGUGGAUGAUGAAGGCCUUCGGGUCGUAAAAUCCUGUCAGGUGGAAAGAAAUGCAUGGUGGUUAAUACCCAUCAUGUUUGACGGUACCACCGAAGGAAGCACCGGCUAACUCCGUGCCAGCAGCCGCGGUAA